CGGGACUGGGAGCCUCCCAGGUGCUACAUCCGCAUCAUCAGCCUCAGGCCUCCCUUGGGGCCUCUCCCUUCAAACCACAGCAUCCUCAUCCCACCCCACCCCCAGGUAGGAUGCUGGUCGCUCAGCCUGGAGAGACCUUUUUAAUUUGAGGAUAAACAGACUGUCAUCCUGGCUCGGCCCUCUGUGGGCUUGCUGCUCCCCGCCCCCCUCAAUCCGCAGUGCACAGCCGCUCUGUUCUCCUGCCAACUUGGCAGCUCGUUGCUGCUGUUACUAUCAACACCUCUGAGGGAAAAAGGAGAGGAGUCGGUUCUGAUCGCCUAGUGCACUGAGCAACACAUUCAUACCGAGCCUGAGCACUCUGGAAUGUUUCCCGAGCUCCGAAGACUCCGGGUGGGGCAAGAAAGGUGGGAUCUGUGUUGCAGAGAACAGAUGGGCCGGAAAUCAGCCUGAGCUCGGAUCCGAUCAGCCCCAGUAGGAGCAGCGCUUUAGCAGAGAGACUGAAACCAGUCGAGGACACACACAAACCCGCCCCUCCUCCCCACCUCCCACCCCCGCCCCUGCUCCCCACCUCAGGGAGUACUGGGAGGGAAUAAGAAGAGCUGCUGAAGGUUGUGGCUGGAGCCUCAGAGGUACAGGACCGGAAUAUCGGUAAAUGGAUCUUGCUGUUACCUCAUCUCUUGUCACAGUCCAAAUAACAUGGAUGGCUUCAGUUCAAGAGAUGGUAGAUCAGGGUUUUGUGGUGUGGGUAGGAAAAUGCUUUUGGGAUUUUGUUUAGGGAUGUAUGAAGAACUGGGUCUUUUUCUUUCACCAUCCUUGGACUCCAUGUCUCCUUUACCAGUUCAGACCGGGUGCUAGAAUGAGCACACUUUCUUUACCGGUUGAAAGCUUCCAGGGUCAGCCUUUUCCUUUACCCAAACCCACUCAGAGCCACUCAGGCCCAGCCCUCUGACUUCCCCAAGCUGCUAGUUAGUGCCUUUCUCAGCCGUGGGUUAGGACUCCCAGGGAGGAGGGGCUGUUGGGAAGAACAAAGAAUAUCUUCAGAGACAGAAAGCCCACUCUAAAGCAAAGGCCUGCUGAUAACUCCAGUCACUCAGUCACUCCUGACAGGAUCAAGAGGUGUUCAUUGUGCUGCUUUCCCCGGAGGAAUGCCUCUCCAGCCCUCUCCCUGGUAGCUAAGGUAAAGCCUGAACUUCCUGACUUUAGUCUCAGCCACAAGGGCUGGCUUGGGACUAGCUCCUGAAUUCCAUACCAGUGGUCUGCCCAACCCACCCGAAAAUGUGGUCCUGGUUCCUAGUCGGGUGUGUGUGGGGAGGGACGAUCAUCAGCCUGUUCGCUUUUCUAUAACACAGAGAAGUCAGGCACCUCAAUGGGCUGCAGACUACAGAAUGAAGACCUAAAACUGAGGCUUGUAUACAACUGGAAUGUGCCCUCCUUUUCUAUGCUGCUCUCCCUCUACCCUCCCUAGAAGCCCUUUUUCAGAUGUGAAACUGAUACCAAGAUUAUUUCCAGCCCUGGGAAUCUGAACCCUCUCACCUUCCUGGUAAGAACUACCCAGCUACCCAAGAAAACCUUCAGACUAUCUCAGGGCCUGAGAACAGGAAAGAGGACUCAGUCAGCAGGCUGGAAUUGAAAUAAGCCAUGAGAGGCUGUGCCAUUCCGGGCUGCACCUGUGAGCAGCCCCUCCAAUGAAGCCCUGUCAGCGUUUCCAUGACAAACUCAUAUUUCCGGAUGCUUCUCUUCCAGCUUGAAGAGCUUGUCUCUCGGCGAGGCUUGAUACUGAAAGUGCAUUCAGAUUUUCACACCCCCCCCCAAAAAAAGAUUGUACACCCCAUAAAAACUUACAACCUGGGGUUGGGGAUUUAGCUCAGUGGUAGAGUGCUUACCUAGGAAGCGCAAGGCCCUGGGUUCGGUCCCCAGCUCCGAAAAAAAGAACCAAAAAAAAAAAAAAAAAAAAAAAAAAAAAACCCUUACAUCCUCCUUGUAUGUAUUUGCUCUUUAUUUUGAGUUUGAUGGCAUAACCUUUGUUCUGGUGAAAAUAAGCAACACACACAGAGGAAGACUCGAGGAGAACCGCUAACGACUACAUGGGGCCAGCACACAGUGUGUAAGACCUCUCUUUGCAAGAGAUCCUCUGCUUCCAUUUGCUUAUCUCAAAGCCAAAAGUGAUUUCUACUUUUGAGUUUGAAGGACUCCCCAGCUCCAGGUGUCCAUUGGCCUCUAACAGAGGCUGACUCCAGAAGGUCACCAGCUCCCAGCUGGCAAUGGAUGAGUGGAAGGAUUUUGAGGUACCUCGAAGGUCAGUGGAAGGGCAGAAAGGGCCUUUCAGUAGGAGCUUUUCACCGGCUCGACGUUGCUACUCUCCAGUACAUUAGCAUCACAAGAUCGAAACAGAAAACUCGGGUAUAUCCCAAAGUGGGAAGAAAAUGAUGUCAUAAACUGGGAGCGAGAUGUGGGCCGAGCUAUGUGGAGGCCUGAGACGAGAGAUGUGUCGUGGCCGCAAUCGCAAGGAUUAAGAAAGUUGGUCCAGUAUGGCCGUGCACCCCUUCCAUCCCAGCACUUGAAGGGCAGAGGCGGGUGAUUCUUAGUAAGUUCAAGACCAGCCUGGUCUACACAGUGAGCUCCAGGACAGCCAGGGCUAGGUAGAUACCCUGUCUCAGGGGAAAAAAAAAAACACCAAAAAACAAAAAAAACAAGAGAAAGAGACUGAGACUUGCCCUAGAAGACUGCAGAAUUGCUGGGCAGGAGGUAGUCUGACAGAUUGGCAGUGAUAGUUAACCAAAGAGAUGCAGUUCCUCUCCAGGAGACUUCUCCACAGGCUGCCUAGUGUGUCCUUAUGACUGGCUCCUCUGGAGCUUCAGUCCAAGAGGGAGAACUGAGCGGACCAUAUAGAUUCUUCGUUGACCUGCUCAGAACUCGAAAUUCAUUACCUGGCUACACUUUGCAUUUAGGAGCAGGUCACCAAGUCCACUCGACCUCCCAGAGAGUAGACUGUGACUUCUGAAGGGAGGACUGCCCAGGGGAUUGAGUGAGUGAGUGCUCCACCCCAGAUUCGCAUGUCAAAGCCCUAACUCACGCUGUGGCUGCACUUGGAGAGAUGCUUCUAAAGUAGUAAUCAUAUAGGCUCACGUAACCCAGGCUGGCCUCGUCUUGUGUAACUGGGAUGAGGCUGAAGUUCCUGGCCUCUUGGCUUCAGCUUCCUAGUGUGGGUUUUAGAUCUGAGCCCCCUUGACUGGUUUAUGUGCCGUGCUGGUGUUCAAAUCUAGGGCUUCACACAUUCCAGGUAAGCACUCAACCCACUGAGCCACAACUCCAGCCCCUCAACUACUGAUAAAUGGUAAAGACGCAUUCUGAGAAAUGGGUCGGUAGGCAAUUUUAUUUUAUAAACUUAACUUGCGCAAACGAAAGAGGACUGUGACGUCACCUGAUGAUAUAACCUUAGGGGACUUCCACCCUACAUUUGGCCCAUCAUUGAUAGAAAUGUCAUUUAAUCUGCAUGACUAUAAUGAAGGUUGGAUGAGAUACUGAAGGCAAGGCUCUGCUCUGACAGGAGUCAUGUCCUCUGUGUGUGUGCGCGAACACAUAUAUGUGACAUAUGUGUUGUAUGCACACUUGUAUAGGUGGCUCUAUGUACCCCUGUGCACACAUGAGAAAAGUCAGAGGAUGGUUCUGAUGUCUUUCUCUAUUACUCUUUAUCUCUGUGUUCUUGUUUGGCUAGUUGGUUUGAGUCAUUUUAUUUUACUUUAUUUUAUUUUUUGAGAGAAAGAGAGGAUUUCUCACUGAAAUGUCUCCCUUUUGGCUGUUAGCUUAUAGAUCUAGAGCUCUACCUGGACUAUGUUAGGCUUCAAACAGGAACAAAUGGCUGAGGUCCCUAUUUAACGUAUCAAAUAGGACCUGGCCACCAGGCUGUCCCAGCAUCCCUCAGUCCCGACCUGUAACAGGGCCCUCCUAGCUGGUAUACCCCAGCCCCUAACCUCAAUUCUCCAGUUCAGGGGGCUGGGCUGCUCUUCCCUAUAUAAACCAGCCAUUCUGAUUACCCAUUCUUUGUACUUUUGGGCCUCCUGGCUGCUGCAUCUUGGCCCCCUCUCUCCCCUCUGCCUCCCCCCUACCUCUCCUCAAAUGACCUAGCUCAGUCUGGUCAUUGUCCACCUUGGACUCCCUCAGAAGUCCCUGUGCCUACCUAUGCUUUCCUUUUUCUCUGUAAUAAGCCUUCUCUUCCCCCAUACCCAAGAGCAGUAGUCAUGUUUCCCUUCGUUUUCUUUCUUUUAUUCAUUCAUUUGGUGCCGAAACCUGGAAAUGGCAUAAAUGUAAAUUCCUGACCCCAGGAACUCAGCCAUUCUGAACCAAGCAGCGGACCUGACUCUGCUAAGGUGUGCAUGGUUCACUUGUUUCCACUGGCUCCUGCCGCUCACAAAAUUUGAUUCCUAGUCCUAGAGGUUGGCCGGGUGUGGUGAUGCUCGCCUUUAAUCCCAGUAUUCCGGAGGCAGACACAGGUGAAUGUCUGUGAGUUCUAGGCCUAUCUGGUCUACAGAGAGAGUUCCAGAACAGUCAAGAACACAGAACACAGAGAGACCUUAUCUUAAAAGUAAAAAACAAACCAACCAAACUUUUGAGUCCAAUUCUUCAGCUGGUGUCCCCUCUCCCUGCUCUUUCUCCUGCUGCCUCACCUCUCCUUCUUUAGUGGAUAAAUAUCACCCCUAGCUGCCAUUUUUGCCUGCUACAAUUGCGACACAGGUGUGUCAGGAAGCUCCUUUCUCCCUCACUGGGCUCCAGUCACAAGGACCAGGGACACCUCUUUGUAAUUUGAAACAUCUUUCUCCUGGACAAAUUUACUGUUCUACUUGGGGAUGCCCCGACGGAAAUUCUUGCCACCUCUGCACUUGACACUAUCCACUUCAGCUACUCCCAUCUCUUAGCUCUGGCCUGCUACGCCCAUCUGGCUCUCUUUAGCUUUCUCUUGCCUUACAACCUGCCUGCAGUGCCACUAUGCUAUCCCUUGCUCCAGCCUGCAGUGCCACUAUGCUAUCUUUUGCUCCAUGCAGUGCCACUAUGCUAUCCCUUGCUCCAGCCUGCUUGCUUGCAUGCUCUCCACUCCUUUUUGGAGCUUCUAGAACAUACCCUCCCCUGCAUGUGCCAUUCUCUCUCUCUCUCUCUCUCUCUCUCUCUCUCUCUCCUCUCUCUCUCUCUCUCUCCCUCCCUCCCUCCCUCCCUCCCUCCCUCCACAGGCUCAUAUUAGUGUUACAGCUUGGCCUCAGUACAGAUCAAUGACUAGCACACAACGAUCCCAAAGUCUCUGACACCUCAAGUUCUACAACUUGACAAUCUCAAAAUUCUUUGCUCUCUCUAAUUUCUCCGCUCUGCUCUUAAAAAAAAAAAAUAAUCUCUCAGGACUAUGCUAUAUCUUACAAAUAUUUUGUCUUAAGAUUCGUAAAUUCGGACUGGAGAGAUGGCUCAGUGGUUAAGAGCACUGAUUGCUCUUCCAGAGGUCCCUGAGUUCAAUUCCCAGCAACCACAUGGUGGCUCACAACCAUCUGUAAUGCCCUCGUCUGAUAUGUCUGAAGACAGUAGCUACAGUGUACUCCUAUACAUACAAUAAAUAAAUUUUUUUAAAAAAACUUACAACAAAAGGCUUAUAAUUAAAACCUAAACAUAAGAAUUUUAAUUUGUCGCAACAUCUUAUAUAUGUGAUUUAAUACUAGUGUAGAAUAUACCAUAUAUGUAACAUAGAUUCAACUCUUGUUUAGGAAAAAUUGUAUUUGAAUAGCAACCAUGUAGUUCUCCUCCAUCUUGGUGAUAACCUUUACCAAGAUGUAAGCAACCAAAUGCUGGCAGCCAUUUGUGUCAUGUGACUUCACUGUCUUCAGAUGACCACAUGGUUUAAAACGAUUAUAUAUAAAACUUCUCAGGCCUACUGAGCCCCGCCUUUAUCGUUGAUCAUCUUUUCUAGACUGAGGAAAGAACAGCCCUAAACAGUCUCUAAAAUAUUUUGGAUUGGUAUGGAUUUUUGUCUGAUGACAAAAUUUAAGUUAUAGAGGUUUACUCAGAUUAACAAAAGCUGAUUUAAGAUAUAUGCCUUAACUAUUUAUGCCUUUGCUAGUUGUUCAACACCAGGCUUCUAGAGAAUUUAGAUAAGUCACAACAUACAUUUGAUAAAUAAGGGGUGCUCGCUUCGGCAGCACAUAUGCUAAAACUGGAACGAUAAAUAAGGUAUAUUUGAUAGUAAGGUUAUCAAUCUGUAAGGUCUACUUAGGUCCACAGUGGUAUCUAACUUUUUCAUCUUUGUUCACGGCAUUAAGCUUUAGCUAUUUGGAGAAACCAAGUCAUAUGAAAAAAAUCAUAAUAAUUCUAUUUGGAUGCUGAAGGUGAUCCAAUUAAAUCUUCAACUCCAACUAUUAAGACGCAAACCCAACAGGGAUAAAGCUCUAAAAUCCUAACCUUAUAUAAGCUACCAGCUUAUAAGCUAUUCAUUUAGUAACAAGCUUUAGUUAGCUCCCUGUAAGUAUACUUAAUAAAGAGGCGGCCCUCAAACACUUCAGAGAGCUUCUGAAUAUGGCAUUUAAAAUGCUCACGCUUCUGUGGGGCUGGAGGGAUGGCUCAGUGGCUAAGAGAACUGGCUGCUCUUCCGGAGGACCAGGAUUGAAUUCCAGCACCCACCGUGGUAGCUCAAAACUGUCUGUAGCUCCAAGAUCUGACACCCUCACCUAGAUAUACAUUCAGGAAGGACACCGAUGCACAUAAAAUAAGAAAUAAAUUAUUAAAAUGUUUAAGCUUCUGUGGAGAGCUUUCGGGGCUGCUUCUAGGAAUUUGGCAGGAAUUUGACAUUGGGCUAGGACAAGGAAGUAGGUUCAAGAUGAGUACAGCUGAGGACUGUGUUCUUUGUGUCCUGAUGGGUCUGGUUAAGACUCUGAAUACAGUAAUCACAGGACCUUUGUUUAUGCUUUGUUUGUUCCUUAACUACUCUGUUUAUGCCUUAGGACUGACCAUAUUCUUUGUAUGUAUCUAGAGUGAUAUAAAAGCAGACUGGAAAAAAAUUAAACACGCUUCAGCCUCAGCACUGGGCUGGAGGCAUGUUAUAAUGUUGUCUAAUUGUCUUUUUCUUUUCUCCCUCCUCCCUGGAUACUCUGUUGACUGACUGAGCUGGCUUGGUCAAACUUCCCCUAAUAGACAGAACUGCCUCCUAGCGGGAACCCCAUGGUCUCCAAAGAAGAUAUACGGAUAUACGAGGCACAAGGACUCCACCAGGAUUGUGGUAGUGCUAACCACUGGGAUAAACUGUUCCAUGCCUCAUCUGCUGUCAGUGCUCUUCUCAAACUGUGGGCGUUUUUUUUGGGUUGAUUGCCCUAUUUUGCCUGGUCAAAGUAAGGUCAGUUCUCCCAAGUUCCCCUUUAGGAAAAAAAAAUCUCUCAGAUCUGACAGCCAAAGGCCUAUGCUCCUCUGUAUGACAGCUAAAGAUUUGGCUAUGUGAUGGCCGAAGACUAACCACUGCCCCCAACGAAACUCUGAAGACCACUGGACCCCAAGGUAACCCGUCUCAUGUAAUGGGGAAGUCUCUGUCAUUCCAGGUAUAAUCUCUCCUCAGAUCUCUGAGGAUAUGGACUGACUGUAGCUUUAACAGCAACAAGCAUACCAGCUCCUCCCCCAAGGCUUCAGCUGCCUUCCCAGUUCUCUUCCUAGGUAAAGACCAGGCCUGAGGCCUCACUCACCUAGAGUUUCUGCUGUAGAGAUUCUGGGCCUUGCUACCAGGCUCCAAAAAGAGAUAAACUCACUAAAGAGGUUUCAAAGUAACUUUUUACCAUUCCUUUCUUUUUUUUUUUUUUUUUUUUUUUUUUUUUGGAGCUGGGGACCGAACCCAGGGCCUUGGGCUUGCUAGGCAAGUGCUCUACCGCUGAGCUAAAUCCCCAACCCCACCAUUCCUUUCUUUAAGGGGACUCUUUGCAAUAACUGCACUCCUGCAGUCACCCCUGGGUCCUCAUGGUAAACAACAGGAUGUAAAAGAAAAAGUGAUUCAAUCUUUAUUAAGACUUCAAAAGUUCAGAGUUUAAACAUUAAUCAGCGGAGUUCUGAUAAGCCAUCAAUCUAGCUCUGCUAAAGUACUUGUUAAUAGUAUCAUAGUCAAAUUUAAAAUGUUAGAUUUUCCUUUGGUCGUUUCCUAAGUACAGACUUAAAAAUGCUUCUCAGUUUGCCAAAGGCAUCUCUGUCCAGUCUAUAUACACAGCACUCUGGAGAGAGUGUUCAUGCUUCUAACCCAAAAUCAUUUUGGCAUUCCCACACUUUUACUUCCAUUCAGAGGCACGAGUCUACUGCUCUUUCCCACAGUGCAGAUUUCAGUACAUAUUACAAAAGUGGUGAUGCUAACAACAUCAGAACUUUUGUCUUUAUAAUCUUAAAAAAAAAAAAAUCUUGUAAGCUGCUGGACCCACCUCUCACAGGUCAAAUGGACCCCAAAUAAGUACUCGUGUCAAACAACAGCCUAAAUUUUAAUGCCCACUGCCUGUUCCUGAGGGUGGGAUCUUUCUCCCUUUUCCUGAUCUUGGAGCUCCCCUCUCCAGCUACCUUUGAGGACCCUGGGCCUCAAAGUUUCAAAUGUGCACCCAGGAUAAACUUUCCCUUCUUCUCCUAGUCUAUCUGUCCCAGUUGAUUCCAGAUCCGACUAGUCCCCAGCUCCGGGUGCUCCCCCACAACCCACAUCCCAAGCAGCUUCAAGGAGGCUAGCCCCAGGUAAUCCAGCCUCACAAACUACUCCACAAGGUCCUGCAGAGCCUGGGCAGCCACUUUUCCCAGUCUCAGCCAGCGCACCAGCUUCUUUAGCACACCCCCACCCCUGACGCCCCGCCCUGACAAUGAUGCUCCAAAGUCAGCAGGAAAUAGUAAGAGAGGAGAUUAUGUAUGUGUCCUCCCAUACCAUUCAUCAAUUAUCAACAAAAAGGCUUAGGUUUUUGUUUGUUUUUUUUUUAAUUAACAAACAAACAAAUAGGUCUCGGGUUGGGGAUUUAGCUCAGUGGUAGAGUGCUUGCCUAGCAAGCUCAAGGCCCUGGGUUCGGUCCCCAGCUCUGAAAAAAAAGAAAAAAAAAAAAAAGAAAGUAAAAAGAAAGUAAAAAAAGAAAUAGGUCUCAAACCUGGGACAAAUGGUGAAGGUGCCUACUAAAGGACCUGGCCUCCAGGUUCUCCCUGCAUCUCUUAGUCACUACCUGUUACAGGGCCCCUGACUAGUAUACCUCACCCGUCUAACCCUGAACUCUCCAGCCCAGGGCUCUGGGCUGUUCCUCCCUAUAAAAUCCACCUGUUUUGGUUACCUGAUUUUUUUUUAUUAAUUAAUUAUUAUUUUUUUUUUUUGUACCUUUGGGCCUCCUGACUGCUACACCUGGUUCCCUUCCCCUCCCUCUCCAUUCGCCUCCUUUCUGCCCCACCUCUCCCCUUCUUCUCUCCCCUCUCUUGUCCUCCCCACAUGACUCAGUUCAGUCUGGUUAUGUACACAGACCCUGGACUCUCCCAGAUGUCCCUGCCUCGGCCCAUACUCUUCCACCUGUCUAUAAUAAACCUUCCCCCACCAUAACUACGAACAGUCACA
ensembl:lncRNA